GACUCUUGGCAACGGGCAAAGACACACCUUGUUCGUGGUUUUGUUUUUGUAUCAGUCAAGGGCAGAGCAGUCCUCCGUUCAUCCUAGCUUGAUGCCUGACUUGGUGGUCAAACCUGUUUUAACUCUAAGACACAUAA